rnacentral:tRNA from 2 species
GCUUCCCUGAUGUAAUUGGUAGCCAUGAAGUGUUUAGGCCACUUUGCCGCGAGGCGUGAGAGUUCGAGUCUCUCGGGGAGCA